UCAAGGCUUGGUUGUUCUCCAGAAUUAGGUCCCUGAAAGCAUGGGGUUUGCUUUUCCUUUUUUUUUUUUUUUCUCCUUUCCUUUCUUUUUUAUUUUCUUUCUUUCUCAGCAAAAAUUAAUAAUACCCUCUUCUCCCCCUGAGAGUGAUUCAUAAAAGCAAUUUAAAAGUUGCUUCUUCAUCGCUGCUCAUAACCUGGGUUAAAGUUAUCUGAGGUUGAUCUGUGUGUGCCUAUUCUCAACACUGUAAUAUUUUAAAAUGUAUGUGCAUUUGUUAUAAUAAUUUGUGCUGAUGGUUCUCCUCCGGAAGAAAUACUAUGUAACUGGCAGAUAGAUUGUCAUUAUGCUGAAUUUGUCCCAGGACUCGCAUAGAUAUCUUCUUUGGGGGUUUUUGUGCUUAUUUGCUGCUCGUGAAAGAGAAGGAUAGAAAGACUUUGGAAGGAGGGUGUGGUCCAGCAGAUUCGGCUUCCUCCCAGCCCAUCAGUGACUCCUUCUUCCUGCUCCUCCCUUUCCCCUCCACUUCUAUCCCAGUUCCUCAGAUCCAACCAGAGCCAGCUGUCAAUGAAAUAUCUUCUGCCUUUUCUAUUACAGCGUGGGUUAGACUCUGUCAGGUAGGAAACUACUCCCCAUAAUCAAACUCAUUAUGUUUGUGAUCUCAGCGUAUUUGCAAACUUAGACAUAGACCAGACAAUAACAUUUACCCUCUCCAUUUCUCCCUUCCUGGGAUUUUUAGCCAAGGUAAUAAUAACAAUAAUAAUACUGUAUUUAAAAGGCCUCUAGCAAUAUUUCAUCUUCUGAGAGUCUUACAGAUGUUAACUAAUUAAUCUUCACAACACUCCAUACAAGAGAGGUAACUAUUAUUAACCAUGAUAGAAGAUACAUAUGUAUAUGCUAAGGACAGCAAACUAGUUCACUUAUUUAUCAUGGUUCACUUGAUAUAGUAACUGGUAUUUUUAAAACACCCAUCAUAGAUACAAUAAUUAGAGAUGUGCUUUUGUUAACAAAGCCACUACCCACUUCUAGCGUACCCUUGGGUACUAAAUAAUUACCCACUUUGUGUGGUUAUCUAGCUCACUAAUUACCCACAGAAAUUGGGGUCAGGUGUUAACUGCUUGAAAUAAGUAUCCUCCAAAGACAUCGCUGAGUUGUAUAGAGAAAAUGAUGUGUUCAUAGCAAAACUUUCGUAAGCUAUAUAUUUGUAUAUCUUUGUAAGCAGAGUGAAUACAGGCAAGGGCAAAUUAGCUUAUUAUGUGAAAAUCAUGCUGAACUAUUGUUGCAAAUAUAGAGAGGUUUAAAAGAGUCUCGGGGAAUCUCGUCCUCUAUUUACCUUUCCCUUUGAAAAUGGGUUCAAUGACAUGAUUUCCAUAGUCUGGCCUUCAUAUAGAAGUACUCUAAGACAAUUGAUGAUUCUGGUUAGGAAUGAUUCAUUUUGGUGUACAGGGAGGCACCCAGUGAGUCAAAGAUUUUUUUUUUUUAACAGCUCCACCCUUCAUGAUUAUUCUAGCGUGUUUCUUUUUUCUCCAUCAGUCUAGUGAAAACACCCCGUUAGCCAAAUCUGAAAAAGAUUCUAACCUAGUCACCAACUCCUGGCAACCACCUCUUUCUCCUUCCCAAUAAUGACAAAAAGAAAAAAAAGUAUUUAAAAAAUCCAACACUUUCUUUUUGCCUUUAACUGUUACGCGCUCCUCGCCUUUCCUCUCUACUUCUCUCCUCUCCCUUCUUCCUCUCUCUGUAUCAUCUUCUUAUUUGUGCAUUUUCUUCUCCUUUUCCUUGGCAUCUAGGCAUGCUUCUGCAGGUCUCACAGUCAGAGACAAAGCACAAUUACGUCUGAGUUGAGCACAAAGAAACUAUCUUUUAAAAACAUUGACUUGGAGGAAACCUGCAUCCUCAGAUACCUUUCUCCCUUUCCUUGCUAUUUACAGAAUCUGACAUUAUAUUUAACACCACACUGCCUGUUGUCUGCAUGAUUCUAGCCAGAAAAAUUGGGUUAGAAUGGCAACAUACCCACUGUGUAUACAGAUAGGUAGAGACCCUAAUUUUCGGCAGAUCCAUGCUUUAAAGGAUCAUUGCAUAGCAGAGCUUUAAAAAUGAGUGCCAACAGAAAUGAUAGGAGAUGCUCCCCCAAUCAACUUAGGAUGUCUUCCUUUUUUCUUGUGCCUCUUUUUUUUGUCAUCUGAAAUAUUACUUGUCAUUAUUGGGGGACUUGAGGCUGAUCGAUGUAGUGUAUAUAUGUCUGUCGGACAUUUGAAGAGGAAAAACAUGCUUCAGGAAUAAGGAAAAUGUCUGCAGUGAAAGCAAAGGGUUAGGAUGAGCUUCAGUGACUGACGAGUUCAUUUCAAAAUCCAAGGGCACAUAGAUGGUAAAUUAGUACAUAUCGCAAAUACAGUCAACGAGCAAACCCCAGCCACUGGAAGGAAAGGGAAUGUUAGCACCGUAGUCAUCACAUGCCUGAACAGAGUGUCUACGUAUCUUAAAUGUAGAUCUGAAUCAUUGCUCUUUUAUCCCGCUAAAUGCUGAUUGCAAAGAAAUGUUUGGGCAUUGUUGACUUUCUGUCCAUAAAGAAAAGUCACGAAGAUUCACAGAAUCCAUCACCUGCACUCAUACAUGCAUGUGUGCUUUAAAUUCCCCUAGGAUGUGAAACAAUUAGGCAGAGAAACUGCACUGUGGUCUCCCUUCCUCACUUCUUUCCCUCCCUGUUUUGCCUUUUCGAAAAUGUGAUACCUGAUCUCUAGGUCUAGCAGGCUGAGAAAUUUUUUGUAUUUGUAUAAUACAGUGUCUGGCCUUCCCCCUGACCUGCUGAUGUAUUUUUGGCCUCAUUAGUAGUCAGGGAGAUGCCUUAGUGCAUCCAGCACUGCAAGUCAGGGAUGAAACACACUACAACAGAGAGAGGGAGCAAGCGCGAGAGGAUAUUAGAAGAGAGGCUUGUCUCCAAGAUAUGGAAGGAAGUGAGAAAUGACAGGGCUGCAAGCUUUGUAUGUAGGAGACCGGCAGGGCGGGGGAGCGGCGAGGAGAGCCAAGUGGAUUCUCAGAAAAGGGGGGAAGCCAUCGAAGAGCUAAAGGUGAUUAGAGGGGGAUAUUGAUUUCUUAUUCUGCCAGAGAUUUAAGCAGGCAUGCGAGGAAUCUGCACCAUGGUUGGCAAAAGGAGACCCGUUGCCUCCUGUAACCAGACACUCGGGCUUUCCAGGAGCCCAGGGAGCAAGCCGAGAAGAAAGGGGGCAGUGUGGUCUAGGAAAAUUCAACUUGUCGCUGAUUUGUGCCUGAUGCCUGCUGUCCGUCAGCAGCCUCCCUUACAAUCUUUUUUUCUCUCUCUCCCUUUUUUUCCCCUUGCCUUCUCCUUCUUCACUGAAGCCUAGGGGAGCCAGUAAAGAUUAAAUGUGCUUCUCAAAGGCAGCCACUUCAUGCUGCUAUGUCGAAAGGGCCAUUAUUAUUAUUAUAUUUUAAUAGUAAAAGAGAAAGGGAGAGAGGUUGAGCGAGCGAGAGAGAAGCUAGGUGUGAUGAUGACAGACUAGCUUUUCUGAGAGGAAAAGGAAAAGGGAAGGGAGAGAAAAAGGAGAGCCCCUGAGCUCAACGGAGGAUUGUGCCUGAGAAGAACCUACAGAGGCCUGGAAUAAAAGAACAACAAGAAGAAGAAAGAAAUGAAAUGAAAAUCAGAAAGAAAAAGGAGAAGAAACAUUUGAAACAGGGUCAUCUUCCCAUCCGCCUCCUCUCCUUUUCCUUUCAUUUUUGGAGGCGGCACAGGAAAGCCCCACUUCCAGUCUGAUGAGGAAAGCGACAAUCUAUCAGGUACAGAACCAGGGGCUGUCUGCGAAGAUGGAGGGGAAUUAUGCUUCGGAUUCCUCUGAAAUAUUGGCCAAAGGCUUCAAAGAAUCCGCAGCGGGAGGUGCGGGGGGAAUGUCUCUCCCCAGCCCGCACCCAGCCCUUCCCACUUCGCGUCUACCAAAUGACAGCCUGGUGCUCGCUCUUGGUGAUUUGGCCUUGACUUCAGCCAAGCAGCUGAUGCAGACGAAGGCUCCGUUUGCAGGACUGGCAAAGUGCACGCUAAAGAAAGAAGGAAGAAAUUUUUCAGAAAGCAGCUCUGGGGAGGUUUCAUACUCCCUUUUUUUUUUUUUUUUUUUAAAUUUUUAAGUGAAUAUUUUCCAAAUUUGAUCAGUUCCAGCCCCUCCCUCCACUCCCACCCAACUGCCCUUUUUUCUCUCGUCAAAGCAUAAGCUACAGAGUUACAGUCUCGAGAUUUGGUGUAUCGCUUCCUGCCCCCGCCUCCCCUCCCCGCCCCCGUUCUCCGUCCUCUAUUGAAACACCUCGCCCAGCCUAGCGCUCUGAGAGCUCUCAUUUCCCCCCCUUGCUCGGGAUGGUGCCACAGGAGGCUGUGCGGGCCCCGCUCUGCUUCGAAUGGUUGUGUUGAUGUUCCUUUCAGCUGGUCCUAUAGUCCCCCUCCUCAGGAAUAUCUCCCCAGUUCAAGGACAAAGACUGAAGAGACUGCUAUAUUGAUGGACUCUCAAACCAACUAUGAAGUUGAAACAAAGAAAGUGAUCACCUGAAGACACCUCCUCUGCUAAGCAACACCCCCAAAUUGUGCAGCUUCAGCCACUAGAACUCUCAGAACAAGAGACAAUCUUUUCAAGAAACAGAAAAACUCAAUAAUGACAUCUAGAUUUUCAUGAGACAAGAACUUUCCCUUCCUCGUGUGUAUUCCUCUGUUUGUACUUAAAUUCAUGUGACAUUCAUUUUUUUCCUAGUACGAAUAUGCUUAUUAAUGCAUUUGUUCCAAAAUCCCAAAUUGCACAAAUGUGUUGAUAUUUUAAGAAACAAAAUUAAUCCUACAAGGAGAAUGAUUUUUAGCCACACACUGGGUUGGAUCUUAAGAGUGACCUACAGAAUAAAAAGUACUUUUAAAAUAAAGUAGUCAGAGGCUAUUCAAAGGGUAAAAUAAUCAUAGUACCACAUUGGUCCACUUGACACUAACCAAUCGAUCAUUUUUUUUUUUUUGAAUUGAGAAAGCUAGAUUCUGUCAGAUAAUAAACACUGCUUCUAAAGAGUUUAAAUCUAGUUAGAAAAAGUUAUAGAAACAUUUGCAAAGAUAAGUAACAGAUAGGGUCAGUAGAGGGUCAGAUCAAAAACAAAACCAAGCAAAAGAUGAGUUCGGGGGAGUUUGCCAUCAAGUUGGCAAAACUGGCUUAUUUAGGGAAGAAAGUUUUAAAAGAGGAAAAUAUGAGAUGAAUCUUGAGUGAUGUCAAAGAUUUAGAUAAAUGAAAAGGAAGGAGGAAAUGGAGUUCUUUAGGUGGAUGUCAUUGGAGGAGGAAAGGAAUAUAUACAUCUUGUUGACUUAAACCUAGACAUUCAGCAGCUCUCUAUACAUAUCUGGAAAAGACUUUGCACUGUCACCUCCUGUCUCUCACCCCAGGUAUUCCUUAGAAUUAUUAUCAUAUUUCCCUUCCAUUAAAGUAAGUAAGGGAGAUUGGUGUCAAUAUGGAGAACUAUGAUUUUUUCCAUUAACCUAAUGAUAAUUGGUAUUUAUUGAAUUCUGUUAAGCAUUUUACAUAUUAUUAACUCACUUAAGCCUUACAACAGCCUAGCAAAAUAGGUAUUACUAUUCCCAUUUUACAGGCAAGAAAACUUGCCAAAGUGCCGUAUACAGGGCUCACAUUCAGGAUUGCAAUCGCAAAGCUCAUGAUCUAAAGUGCUAAGUUGCAAUAUUGUAAUCAAUGUCACAAUUAUUACCCCUUUUUAUAUUCCUUGAUAUUUUUCCAUGGCAAACAAAUAGUUAUUCCAUUUAAUAAUCACCUAAAACUUUUCAAUCUUCUGCUUAAAAUUACACGAGAGUGGUAGAAUGUAUUUUCAUGAUAGAAAUUGGAAAAAAAUGGGGAAUGAAGUUUAUCGGCAUUUCAGACUUUUUUUUUUUUUUGCAAGACUUUGAUGAGAUUGUUCACUUUUGUCUCCAUAAAAUCCCAAAUCUUUGAGAAUAAAAAAGGGGGAGGUUUAAGUCACUUGUUGCAAUGCCCUUUUUAAUAGAGGCAAUAAAUCUAAAGGCCAUAAAUUUAGAGUGACUUACAGAAGAUCGAACUUUGGGGUGUGACAGAGUAAGGGAUGGAAACCAGGCCCUCCAGUUCACUAUCAGUAGCUCUUGCACUAGUCUGCCCUUCCUAAAUUAAGUAUGCACUUCAAUCUGAUGAGUGGAAACAGUCUAUCUAUAGGUAGUAACCGGGGAGCUUUGUUCCUAGUGGAUUGCUUCUGUUCUGCACUUCUUUGGUUUCCCAUCUUAAUGUAAAAAAUAGCUAGCAAUGAAGUCCAGAAGUUGUCAGUGGUUCAUCCCCAAAAGAAUGCAUAAUGUCCAAAGUUUUAUGUGUAUAAUGUCUUCAAUGGUGUUUUUAAGUUAUUUCAAAUUCUUAGUUCACCUACAUAAAUCAUAUCUAAUGAGCAUCUUCUUAACCAACUUUAUGCACAGUAUAUGUUUGUAAGUGCUUCUGCACAAAUGUUUAUACAUGACUGUUUCCAUAGUACUUAUGUUUUUAAAAAUAUUCAGUCAUUUCCUAUUAUAAUCCUCAUGUAUCCAUGUAACUGACUCAAAAAUAUUUCAGCCAUAAAAAGCUAAAAUUGAGCAAAUCUCAUUCUUCUUAUCCAUCCCCUUUGCAUGUGACUGGCAUUUAGUAAUGAUUAAUAAUGUGGUUAGCUGAAUAACAGAGGUUCAAGGCACAAUUCUGUCUCAAAGGAGUCAGCUAAGCUGGGUCUACUUAUGGACAAACAUCUAAAUGUGUGGACAUAUCUGAUAUUUGACUAUGGUAAAUUUCCACUUAGCUCGCUAGCAUUGUCAGACAUAGAUCUCCUCAUGGCUCUGGCCGUCCUGUUUUCACCAUGAUAAUUGUUGGCCACAUCUCAUAUAGUUCUUAUUAAAUGAGUUCAUAAAUAAACGGGGCUUUUUUUUGUAAAGAGCAGCCAAGCACAAAGUGUGACUUUGUUGACAUUUUACAUGACUUUGUCAUAUGUUCCUAACCCCCAAUAAAAGCAAUGUUGCAUCAACUGUGAA